rnacentral:miRNA from 1 species
UUGGAAGAGGCUGCUAUUGGA